rnacentral:rRNA from 1 species
GACGAACGCUGGCGGCGUGCUUAACACAUGCAAGUCGAACGGAAAGGCCCUGCUUUUGUGGGUGCUCGAGUGGCGAACGGGGGAGUAACACGUGAGUAACCUGCCCUUGACUUUGGGAUAACUUCAUGAAACUGGGGCUAAUACCGGGUAGGAGCUCCUGCUGCAUGGUGGGGGUUGGAAAGUUUCGGCGGUUGGGGAUGGACUCGCGGCUUAUCAGCUUGUUGGUGGGGUAGUGGCUUACCAAGGCUUUGACGGGUAGCCGGCCUGAGAGGGUGACCGGCCACAUUGGGACUGAGAUACGGCCCAGACUCCUACGGGAGGCAGCAGUGGGGAAUAUUGCACAAUGGGCGGAAGCCUGAUGCAGCAACGCCGCGUGCGGGAUGACGGCCUUCGGGUUGUAAACCGCUUUCGCCUGUGACGAAGCGUGAGUGACGGUAAUGGGUAAAGAAGCACCGGCUAACUACGUG